UUGAGUUUAGGUUGCCAACAGU
rnacentral:siRNA from 1 species